AGCUCCAAUAGCGUAUAUUAAAGUUGUUGCAGUUAAAAAGCUCGUAGUUGGAUCUAAGGAUUUGGACGGAUGGUGCGCUUUAGGGCGUAACUGUCUGUCCUGCCUAACACAGUCGUGGAAGCCUUUGGUGCUCUUCACUGAGUGCCUUUGGUGCCCGACGCCAUUACUUUGAGAAAAUUAGAGUGCUCAAAGCAGUCAUAAUGAUUGCAUACUGUUGCAUGGAAUAAUAAAAUAGGAGUUUUCUUCUAUUUUGUUGGUAUUCGGAAGUGAACUAAUGAUUAAAGGGGACAGACGGGGGCAUUUGUAUGGAGGCGCUAGAGGUGAAAUUCUGUGACCGUCUCCAGACAAACUACUGCGAAAGCAUUUGCCAGGAAUGUUUUCAUUAAUCAAGAACGAAAGU
rnacentral:rRNA from 1 species